UCCUGUAUCGAAAGUGAUCAUGGUGUACACAUCGCCAGGUCAUCGAUAUUACAGGAAGAUCAAGUUGAGAGCCUUUCCCGUGUCUGGAGGAAUUGUUGCUUCCUAUCAGACCCUGAUGCUCUCAGACA